ACGCCAGUAACUCAAUUGGUAGAGUAGCGGUCUCCAAAACCGCCUGUUGGGGGUUCGAGUCCCUCCUGGCGUG
rnacentral:tRNA from 2 species